CCUACGGGUGGCAGCAGUGGGGAAUAUUGCACAAUGGGCGAAAGCCUGAUGCAGCAACGCCGCGUGAGCGAUGAAGGCCUUCGGGUCGUAAACCUCUGUCCUCCAGGAAGAUAAUUACGGUACUUGAGAAGGAAGCCCCGGCUAACUACGUUCCCGCCGCCGCGGUAAUACGGAGGGGGCUAGGGUUAUCCGGAAGUACCGGGGGAAACGGGUGCGUAGGUGGUUUCUUAAGUCAGAGGUGAAAGGCUACGGCUAAACCGUAGUAAGCCUUUGAAACUGGGUAACUUGAGUGCAGGAGAGGAGAGUGGAAUUCCUAGUGUAGCGGUGAAAUGCGUAGAUAUUAGGAGGAACACCAGUGGCGAAGGCGGCUCUCUGGACUGUAACUGACACUGAGGCACGAAAGCGUGGGGAGCAAACAGGAUUAGAUACCCGAGUAGUC
rnacentral:rRNA from 1 species